UCCGCGAUAGCUCAAUGGCAGAGCAUUCGGCUGUUAACCGAAGGGUUGGAGGUUCGAGCCCUCUUCGCGGAGCCA
rnacentral:tRNA from 1 species